AACGAACGCUGGCGGCAGGCCUAACACAUGCAAGUCGAGCGCCCCGCAAGGGGAGCGGCGGACGGGUGAGUAACGCGUGGGAACGUACCCUUUGCUACGGAAUAGCCUCGGGAAACUGGGAGUAAUACCGUAUGUGCCCUUCGGGGGAAAGAUUUAUCGGCAAAGGAUCGGCCCGCGUUGGAUUAGGUAGUUGGUGGGGUAAAGGCCUACCAAGGCGACGAUCUGUAGCGGGUCUGAGAGGAUGAUUCGCCACACUGGGACUGAGACACGGCCCAGACUCCUACGGGAGGCAGCAGUGGGGAAUUUUGGACAAUGGGCGCAAGCCUGAUCCAGCCAUGCCGCGUGCGGGACGAAGGCCUCGGUUGUAACGACUUCUAGCCGGAAGAAAUACGCCAAGGCUAAUAUCCUUGGUGGAUGACGGUACCGGAAGAAGAAGCACCGGCUAACUACGUGCCAGCAGCCGCGGUAAA
rnacentral:rRNA from 1 species